rnacentral:misc_RNA from 1 species
GAUGAAGAACGUAGCGAAAUGCGAUAAGUAAUGUGAAUUGCAGAAUUCAGUGAAUCAUCGAAUCUUUGAACGCAACUUGCGCCCUCUGGUAUUCCGGAGGGCAUGCCUGUUUGAGUGUCAUGUAGACUCAAUCCCUCGGGUUUCUGAGGAGGUUGGAUUUGGGUGCUUGCCUUCUGGCUCGCCUUAAAGGACUUAGCAGGAUAGCACUGUAGUCGACGUAAUAAGUCUCGUCGGUGAAAGUGUGAUGUCUGCUUACAGAUUGCCCUUGGGCACUUUUGACUCUGACCUCAAAUCAGGUAGGACUACCCGCUGAACUUAAGCAUAUCAAUCAGCGGAGGA